rnacentral:rRNA from 1 species
UUACACAUGCAAGUCGUACGAGAAAGUUUCAGCUUGCUGAAACAAGUAAAGUGGCGCACGGGUGAGUAACGCGUGGGUAAUCUGCCCCUGGGUUCGGGAUAACCCGCCGAAAGGCGAGCUAAUACCGGAUAACAUCUUUGGCACCUCGGUGUUAAAGAUCAAAGGUAGCCUCUACAUGUAAGCUUCUGCCGAGGGAUGAGCCCGCGUACCAUUAGUUUGUUGGUGGGGUAACGGCUCACCAAGACUUUGAUGGUUAGCUGGUCUGAGAGGAUGAUCAGCCACACUGGAACUGAGACACGGUCCAGACUCCUACGGGAGGCAGCAGUGAGGAAUUUUGCGCAAUGGGGGAAACCCUGACGCAGCAACGCCGCGUGAGUGAUGAAGGCCCUUGGGUCGUAAAGCUCUGUCAAGUGGAAAGAAAAUAUGUACUAUAAAUAGUAGUGCGUAUUGACGGUACCGCUAAAGGAAGCACCGGCUAACUCCGUGCCAGCAGCCGCGGUAAUACGGGGGGUGCAAGCGUUAAUCGGAUUUAUUGGGCGUAAAGGGCGCGCAGGCGGCCUGGUAAGUCAGAUGUGAAAGCCCGGGGCUCAACCCCGGAAGUACAUUUGAAACUAUCAGGCUUGAGUAUGGGAGAGGGAAGUGGAAUUCCUGGUGUAGCGGUGAAAUGCGUAGAUAUCAGGAGGAACACCGGUGGCGAAGGCGACUUCCUGGACCAAUACUGACGCUGAGGCGCGAAGGCGUGGGUAGCAAACAGGAUUAGAUACCCUGGUAGUCCACGCAGUAAACGUUGAUCACUAGGUGUAGCGGGUCUUUACCCCCCGCUGUGCCGAAGCUAACGCAUUAAGUGAUCCGCCUGGGGAGUACGAUCGCAAGGUUAAAACUCAAAGGAAUUGACGGGGGCCCCCCCCCAGCCGGGGGAGCAUUG